rnacentral:rRNA from 1 species
GUAGCUUGCUACCUGACCUAGCGGCGGACGGGUGAGUAAUGCUUAGGAAUCUGCCUAUUAGUGGGGGACAACAUUCCGAAAGGAAUGCUAAUACCGCAUACGCCCUACGGGGGAAAGCAGGGGAUCUUCGGACCUUGCGCUAAUAGAUGAGCCUAAGUCAGAUUAGCUAGUUGGUGGGGUAAAGGCCUACCAAGGCGACGAUCUGUAGCGGGUCUGAGAGGAUGAUCCGCCACACUGGGACUGAGACACGGCCCAGACUCCUACGGGAGGCAGCAGUGGGGAAUAUUGGACAAUGGGCGAAAGCCUGAUCCAGCCAUGCCGCGUGUGUGAAGAAGGCCUUUUGGUUGUAAAGCACUUUAAGCGAGGAGGAGGCUACUGAGAUUAAUACUCUUGGAUAGUGGACGUUACUCGCAGAAUAAGCACCGGCUAACUCUGUGCCAGCAGCCGCGGUAAUACAGAGGGUGCGAGCGUUAAUCGGAUUUACUGGGCGUAAAGCGUGCGUAGGCGGCUUUUUAAGUCGGAUGUGAAAUCCNUGAGCUUAACUUAGGAAUUGCAUUCGAUACUGGGAAGCUAGAGUAUGGGAGAGGAUGGUAGAAUUCCAGGUGUAGCGGUGAAAUGCGUAGAGAUCUGGAGGAAUACCGAUGGCGAAGGCAGCCAUCUGGCCUAAUACUGACGCUGAGGUACGAAAGCAUGGGGAGCAAACAGGAUUAGAUACCCUGGUAGUCCAUGCCGUAAACGAUGUCUACUAGCCGUUGGGGCCUUUGAGGCUUUAGUGGCGCAGCUAACGCGAUAAGUAGACCGCCUGGGGAGUACGGUCGCAAGACUAAAACUCAAAUGAAUUGACGGGGGCCCGCACAAGCGGUGGAGCAUGUGGUUUAAUUCGAUGCAACGCGAAGAACCUUACCUGGUCUUGACAUAGUAAGAACUUUCCAGAGAUGGAUUGGUGCCUUCGGGAACUUACAUACAGGUGCUGCAUGGCUGUCGUCAGCUCGUGCCGUGAGAUGUUGGGUUAAGUCCCGCAACGAGCGCAACCCUUUUCCUUAUUUGCCAGCGGGUUAAGCCGGGAACUUUAAGGAUACUGCCAGUGACAAACUGGAGGAAGGCGGGGACGACGUCAAGUCAUCAUGGCCCUUACGACCAGGGCUACACACGUGCUACAAUGGUCGGUACAAAGGGUUGCUACCUAGCGAUAGGAUGCUAAUCUCAAAAAGCCGAUCGUAGUCCGGAUUGGAGUCUGCAACUCGACUCCAUGAAGUCG